AAUCCAGCCUCAGACACUUACUAGCUAUGUGACCCUGGUCCUACAGGGAUGAACAACAACACAAGUCCGGUUAUAACUUCAGAAGAUUGGUAACAAAUCAGCUCUUCACCCCUUGGCUGAAAGGCCCCAAUCUUGGUCUCUCUUCUUCACUCCCAAACCACAGCUAUGGAGUCCAGACCAACUGUUCCCCAGAUGAUCUUGCUACCUGCAGUCCCUCGGGUGGCUGCAAGCUACAGCUGUCCUCUCUGUCCCAGAACUGAACCCAGGAACUCUGCUCUCCUGCAAGUGCCCACAGCCAACAGAGUCCCUGCAAGUUGCUGCUGCACUCACCAGGUGUGUGCUAGCUCCUUCUCCCCACAGCUACAGCCCUGGACAUGUCUGAUCAGCACAGCUGUGCUUGGCAUCCCUCGAGAGUGGAAGGUCCUUCAAUCUUCUACUCAGCCAUCAGA